rnacentral:rRNA from 1 species
UACGGAGGGUCCAAGCAUUAAUCGGAUUUACUGGGCGUAAAGGGCGCGUAGGCGGUUUUGUAAGUCAGAUGUGAAAUUUCGGUGCUCAACACCGAAGCUGCAUUUGAAACUGCGAAACUAGAGGAUGGACGGAGAAAACGGAAUUCCACGUGUAGCGGUGAAAUGCGUAGAUAUGUGGAAGAACACCUGUGGCGAAAGCGGUUUUCUAGUUUAGACCUGACGCUGAGGCGCGAGAGCAAGGGGAGCAAACAGG